GGUUUGGGGGUGGGAGGUGGGCAGUGUGUGUGUGUGUGUGUGUGUGUAUGUGGGGGGUUACAUUCAUGAUUAGUUAAGGAAGUGGUAGACGGUAGACCAUCUUGCGGAACAUGAAGCGUUACCGACGAUGUCGACCAGCUCCUGGCGCCAGCUCGAGCUCCAGCUCCAGCUCCAGCGCGUAGACCCUCCGAAGUAGUGUUCCCGUAUGAUAUAAAGCUGCUGCAUAGCCUGACACGACCUAAGUUCGCGGCGGCACGGCGACACUACUACGCGCGACUAGUCGCGAUCUACGGACGCUCGCUGCCCUAAUAGCUUUCCUACAUACCCCGGCGUGUACUCACCUGCGGCGUGGCAUUGGAACCCACGCCGCGUGACGUCCAGACAUCCAUGCAUAGCAAGAAACGGGAGGGCGAGGUGAGAGGCAAAAGGCAAAAGCAAAGGAACCUAAAUGCUAUGGCCGCCGCGACGGGAAUGGACGCGCGCAAACGCUAAGUAGGCCACGGAAUUGGACCCAUGCUGGCAUGUGGAGGGGGACUAGGGGCUGCGUGGCGGGGCUCCUAAGAGCUCCCACGGGGUGGUGGCCCAGAGAGUCGCAGGUGGGUGGGGUGCCCUGCUAUCCUUUGCCGCGUGGACGGUGUGUUUUCCCUGGAAACCCGGCUAUGUGGGGGGGGGGAUGGUGUUGGUGUUGAUGUUCUUUCACAUGUGAAAGCACAUGUGAAAGAGGGAAACAGUAGUGUCUGUGUGUGUGUGCUGGAGGAGUGAGAGGCAUAUACGCCCAAGCCCAACGAAUACUACGAAGGUCCCAUACUGGGGCUUGUUUCCCCAUUCCCAGUAAGGAAUCGUCGACACGAGGACUCAUGGCAAGACAAGCACGCAUGCACACGGUGUCCCCUACCCCUGGCACGCACGUACACGGCCACCUCCCGCCCCCCCCCCGCACCUCCAGGUGGUUCAGGUCGUUGUGCCGGUACACGUGCAGGCUCACGCCGCCGCCGCCACCAGCCGAUCCAGAUCCAGAACUGCUAGAUCCAGAGCUGGAUCCGGAUCUCAGCGCCAGCCGCGCGCCGUCGAUGAUGGAGGCGUGGUUGAGUUCGUCGCUGAAUAUGGCCACACCGCCCUCGCCUGUGGAGGUGAGGGUGUGAGGCGGUUGGGUCAGUCUAUGGGUGGGUGGGUGCGUGGGUGGGUCAGCCUAUGGGUGGGUGGGUGGGUGGAUUAUUGAGUCGCCGUGGGGAGUUUGAGGGUGGGUGGUGCGGUGAGGGCCCACAGCGCCCUGUCCACCACCGCAGUGCCAACACCAUUGCACACCGCUAAUCCCCAUGCAGCCAGGCACGGGGCACCGGGCAUCGGGUGCUCGCACACACAGUACGCUGCAAACAUACGCGUAUGCAUGUGCGGUCGCGCACUCGUCCUGUUUCUAUUGGUUAUCCUCGUUUGCCACACAUGCACACACGCAUACACGCAAGCAUACAUUUAAUACAUAAUAUACUUUAUAUACAUAUGCUUAUAUAUAUAUAGGGUAUAUAUACAUAUAUAUAAGCAUGCGCCCACCUGCGGCGGUGCCUGCCAGGGUAGUGAGCACGGACAGGUUGGCUGCGAACCCGGUGGGGAACAGCAGGCAGUCCUCGGCGCCCUGGGGGGGAGGCGUGUGUAGGAGUGGGAAGUUUGGUGGUAUGCAAGAGACGUUGCAUGGAAGGUGUGUGCCUGUGCGUAUCAGCGCCUGCACGUCCUCUUUGCCUCCCAUGCUCCCCUGCCCCCCUGCCCUGUUGCCCCCCUGCCCCGCCUGCCACCCUCCGCCAGCUCUCGCCCUAGGCUUUGGAAGCAUCGCCCGGCCUGCAAGUCACCCCCCGGCCUCCCGCCUGCUACUGCCUGCCCCCCGGCCUGCUACAGCCUCCCGCCUGCUACUGCCUGCCCCCCGGCCUGCUACAGCCUCCCACCCCCCACCAUCACCUUGAGCUGCGCCAGGCCCGCCUCCAGCUGCCGGUGGCUGUGGCUGUAGCCGGCCACCAGCGCGCUGCUGCGGGGGCCCAGGCCCACCUGGUGGGAGAGGGGUGGAGGGGUGGGGGUGGGCGGGUGGAGAGGCCGUGGAGAAGGUGGCGUGCUUUGGAAAACAUAGCGCGGCGUGUAUGUAGUCCCACAUGGCUUAUCCAUGGGACACGACGCGAGCACAGAAACCCGCCCCUACCCCAGCAGGGGUACAGAGCUGCCCCGUCAGGGUACACCAACGUCUGGGUCGUGAUCCCAUUCAUUGUCCGCCCUUCCCCGCACCUUACAAGUCGCUCCUGCACCCGCUGCCCCUCAUGCACGCCUUGGCGCCUGGAUGGUUGGGUCUCAAUGUCCCAUUCCCGUGCCUUUUCCCCUCCGCCCCUCCUGCUCCCCCCAGCCUCUCACCCGCAGUGCCGACCGCGCCGCCGCCGCCGCCACGUCCGGAUGUGAGGCGAGCCCCAGGUAGUCAUUCAGCGAGAACAGCUUUAGCCGUACC
rnacentral:lncRNA from 1 species